rnacentral:rRNA from 1 species
GACGAACGCUGGCGGCGUGCUUAACACAUGCAAGUCGAACGGAAAGGUCCUGCUUUUGUGGGGUGCUCGAGUGGCGAACGGGUGAGUAACACGUGAGUACUCUGCCCUUGACUUUGGGAUAACUUCAGGAAACUGGGGCUACUACCGGAUAGGAGCUCCUGCUGUGUGGUGGGGGUUGGACAGUUUCGGCGGUUGGGGAUGGACUCGCGGCUUAUCAGCUUGUUGGUGGGGUAGUGGCUUACCAAGGCUUUGACGGGUAGCCGGCCUGAGCGGGAGACCGGCCACAGUUGGACUGGGAUACGGCCCAGACUCCUACGGCAGCCAGCGGUGGGGAGUAUUGCGCUAUGGUCGGAAGCCAGAUGCAGCCACGCCGCGUGCGGGAUGACGCCCAUCGGGUUAUAAACCGCUUUCGCCUGUGCCGAAGCCUGAGUGACGGUAAUCGGUAAAGAAGGACCGGCUUAAUACUUG